UCAUAAUUCGAAACUCACUGUGAAACUCACCUGAACGCGGAUCGUGGAAGGGUUUCAAAGGACGAUGCCCACUCGGUGGAUACAUCCAAAGUGCUACGCUGUUAUCGCUCCUGCGCUAGGAGGAUGCCGGAGAAACAAGGUUCAUCUCAUUAUCGAACCGAAUAAUCACCAGACGAGCCCUCGAAGUCUGGGGUUCGAUUCAGCAUCAGUCUACAGACUUGCACGCGACUCCGAUACCUCAACGACCCUUGGGCAACGACACACAGAGAAGUCCCUGGUUCAUUUUCCGGGCCAAUUAUCCGCGCGAGAUCUUUUGUAGCGGAGAUCCAGAAUCGCAGUUAUACAUCACUUACACCCGGUGCCGUCAUAAUUGGCUGGAUUGUUCGUCGAUCACAACUAGCCAGCGCGACACUGGAAAGAGGACUUUCAGGCAUUGCAGAACUUGAAAACAACCUACGUGUCGGUACAUCGAUCAUCGAGAAGAUAACAAAGAAAAUGUCAGACGAAAGUUGAAGAUUGCAAACAAGGACAUUGAUGCUGGAGGGUGUGAAUAUGAUUCCUGAUGUUCCUGGUGAUUCGUUUAAUCCGCAGUGAUCCGAUCACGGGAAAC